UGGGGAAUAUUGCACAAUGGGCGCAAGCCUGAUGCAGCCAUGCCGCGUGUAUGAAGAAGGCCUUCGGGUUGUAAAGUACUUUCAGUCGGGAGGAAGGUGGUAAGGUUAAUAACCUUAUCAAUUGACGUUACCCGCAGAAGAAGCACCGGCUAACUCCGUGCCAGCAGCCGCGGUAAUACGGAGGGUGCAAGCGUUAAUCGGAAUUACUGGGCGUAAAGCGCACGCAGGCGGUUGAUUGAGUCAGAUGUGAAAUCCCCGGGCUCAACCUGGGAACUGCAUCUGAUACUGGCAAGCUUGAGUCUCGUAGAGGGGGGUAGAAUUCCAGGUGUAGCGGUGAAAUGCGUAGAGAUCUGGAGGAAUACCGGUGGCGAAGGCGGCCCCCUGGACGAAGACUGACGCUCAGGUGCGAAAGCGUGGGGAGCAAACAGG
rnacentral:rRNA from 1 species